GGAAAAUUGUACUUAGCAGUAUAAGCUUUUAAUGAUAUAAGUUUGCAUAUGAUAGAAUACUGUAUGUUGACCUUUUGAUGACUUAGACUGUUGUCCACUACAAGACUGUUUUAUAAAUUCUUUCUCACAGCGAUAAUAGCUGAACAAGCAGGAAGAGGAGAGCUGGACACUUUUAUCUGCGCUCCUUAACAAGAAGAGGGGCCGCGUCCUUCUGAAUCUCACAACACACACACAUACACCUGAACCACUCUUAUCUUCACUCCCUACGCACUAACAUUCCUCUGCCUAUGAAUAGACGUAUUCACUGUUGUAUUGCUUUGUAUAUAAAUAAAGACCAGAGCGGUAACAGGGCGCUGAUCACAGGGCCCCCACUCUGGUGUGAGCAUUCUGUGACCGCCCUUGUAUACAAGUGAAAAACACAGCGUCUGUGUGUGUUUCUACCCUUAGACUCUUAGCUGAAGAAGUGUCUUUAGAAUAAAUCUCUUGACAUUUAUUUUGGUCCUUCGAGAGCCGGAUCAGAAAUAUCAGAACUGUUAUCUGUGACUCUGUUCCAGGAUCUGGCAUACUGUUUCCUGACGCUGUGGAGCCAGCACCGAAGACUGUGCACAGCCCUCUUAGACGAGGAGGACCCGGGACGUUUGAGUCCGGGCCGGUCUGGUCCACGGCGAUGGGAUUCAGUCUGACGAUCCGAACCACCAGUGAGAUGUCUGAGGGUGAGAAACACUAUUUUUGAUAUAUAAAACGGCCGCAAAGGUUUAAAGAAACGUGAUAAAUUAGGUUUAAGUUCGACAAAAAGAACUAAGUUUAGACUGGUUUUAGAGGUAGCCAAAAUUACUUCGUGACAAAUUAAAAUACGUUUAGGCAAAUUAAAACACGUCGAGACAAAGGAAUUCAAAUAGGUUUAAGUUCGCCAAAAGAAACUGUGUUUAGACUGGUUUUAGAGGUAACCGUUAAAUACUUCGUGACAAAUUAGGUUUAAGUUCGCCAAAAGGAACUGUGUUUAGACUGGUUUUUAGAAGUAGCCAUAAAAUACUUCGUAACAAAUUAGCGCGCAAAUGUCUAUGUGUGUAUGUGUGUAGAAGUAAGUUGAUUUUACAGCACAAUACGCUGCUGAACUACUUCUAUUUUAUUUGUUUUCUUUGCUUGAGGCUCAAGUACUGGUGACAAAAGAGAACGGUUGAGUUUCGUCUCGUAAAACUGAUACCGCUUCAUUUUUUAGAAGUGAAGUAGAAGGCCGUAUCAGUAAACCACUCUGGAGUCAAGCGUGCCAGUGACGGCCCAGCAAAAUCUUUGGAAAUGGGUAAUAAACAAGCAAAAUUAACACCUGAUGAGGAAUGGUUAGAAAAACAACAAACAGGAGCAGGUAGAAUAAGUGCAAAUAGGUGGAGAAAUCCACAAAAAGCAAAGAACCGCAGCUGGGAAGGGAAAUGCAAUCCCUCAGCUGUUACCCAGCUGAAAGCUGUCCUGAAACAAGAAAUUACAUUAACAAAAGACCCAAAGAAGAAAUUAAAACGUGAAGAAGAAUAUAAACUUUUCCAAGCAUGGGAAACUGAAGCUGAAAGGAGAACUGAAAAUAAGAAAAAGAAAGAGGAAAAUAAAAACUAUUUCAACGCACUUUCAUUAAAGGAUUACUACCACCCAUUAGGUCUCAUGUCGAAAAGCAUUGGGUAACGCAAGAUACGGGCACAGCAGAUGAGGCGUUUCAAUAUGUUAACCAUGCACAGACAGUGGUGAAACGGAAAGAGAAGGUCUCAGUUUUGCCCUCGAUGCUGACACUGUUCUCACAGCUUUUAGUGGAGGCUACAGGGGAGGCUUCAGAGGCCAAAAGAGAGGGAGAGGAAUGCAUAGGGGAAGAGCAAGAGGUAGAGACAGACCUAGAUACACACCAAACAGUAAUUAUAGCACUACAUGCUGGAGGUGUGGAAAAGAGGGACAUUUUGUACGUGACUGUAAGAAACAAAGAAGCAGUUCAGACUAGGAAGAAUAUAAUAAUCCCUCGUCAAGAAAAAGAUUAGAGAUCAAAGUUUAAAAAGGGCUGGAAACAGACCCAACUGAAUACAUAUAAAUACAAGAGGAAUAAAGUGGAAUAAACAAAAGGUUAAAUUAAAUUAGAGCUUAUCUCUACUGUAUUCAAACUAAUAAUAGGAAGGAUAACAACCUGUAAACUGGUAUUAACAAUGAAACAUAGUUAGAAUGAAGACCAUGCCCAGACUGAAUAGAACGAAAGAAAAUACAUAACUCACACAAACACAUAUUAAAUGAAAUAGAGAGAUGCAUAAGGUAUAUUAAGGUUGUGUCAUUGUUCAGCCAAGGAAAGUGUGUGAAAAGGAAAAUGUCUCCAGCUUGGGAAAGGGUGAAACUGCAGAUCACCCCCAUCCCUCGAUGGAUGCAAAAUAAAAUAUAAAUAAAAUAUUGUAAUAUACUAUUGCUGUUAUAUAAAAAGAUGAUAACAUUAAUAAUAACAUAAUAUUAAUAUGAAGAGGCACCUCAGUCAGCUAUGAUGUGAGGUGGAUAAUUGUUAAAAGUAGUCUGCAUCAAGCUUAAGGUUUGCUCAAAUUCAGUAUAAUGACAUAUGAGAUGAAGAAAAUAAAGAAAAUAUCUAAACUAAUUAAGUGCAUAGAGACACUUGACCUGCUUGAAAACCUGUCAUCCUAGAUGAGACAUUGCUGAAAUAUAGAGCACACCUAUAGUAACAACUAACAAGCUAAACCCUCUAUACAACAGCUAAAGCUAUACAAUUGAGAAGCUGAAUUAAAUAUAUGGUCACUGCUAAGCUGAUGAGCAGGUUACACAUUUUUUAGAGCAGGAGCUGCAUAAGAACACAUCAGAGGGAGGGAAAGAGCUAUUAAAGCUCAAACAUGAAGCUGUCUGUGGGCUCAGUUUUUUUUCCCCUCACGCUUCUGAUUUGUCUUUGGCAGCAGCCUUUUUGCAUCCUGACUUAUGUGUGUAAAGCGUUCAAGCCAUCAGUAACUUGUUUUUUGUUUUGUUUUGUUGGGUUGAAAAAUGAAUAAAUCUGUGAUCAUACUUCUGGAUCACAGUGGCACAUAAUGAUUAGGCAUAUGAUUUACUAAUGCAGAUGUAAUUACUUUAUUCUAAAAUUCAAGGAGAACAAACAAGAACAACAUCUUCAGUUGUGUCUUGUUGUUGUUCUCUGUGCAGUGUGCUGAGUUUUGUUUUUUGUUUCUUUUGUUUUUUGAAAUGUUGCUUGAGUGAUGAGUACUGUAACUUCUGAAGUAGCUCUCACCAUGUGUCCUUGAUGAUGAUAAGUUCAGAGCCAGCUGAGAGCUGGGUUGUCUGUUUUGUUUUAGGUGACAAGCCAGAAAAGUUAAAACUUAGUUUCUUGUUUUGAAAAAAAAGGGGGGGAAAGGGAGGUUUUGUGUUUCUCAGCAAAGAACAACUACAAUUUCAUUUUCUGUUUUUGAGAAAGGAGAAUUUAAAAUAAUAGUAAUAAUAAUAAUAAUAAAACAAAGAGUUAUGUUUUGUUUAAGUGGUGAAGACAGCUAAUACUGCAAUAUACCGUCUAGUGCAUGAUCCGCGAGCAAUAUAUGAAAUCAUCUUAUUUAUCUUUAAAUAAACUCCAAUUAUGGAGACCUGAAGUCACAUGCUUAGGGCACACCCUCUCAGGUGAAGGCAGAAAGCUACUAAACAAAGAAAAGAAGCCAUACAAAAUGCACCACAGCCACAAACUAAGCAUUCAUAUUCUUUCUAACUCUUAGUGAGCCUGAGUUAUGACCUUGGCUCCCUGUUUUUCUGCUUCCACCAAAGGUGGGGGUGACGCUCCUGUGGCAUGUGCUCUGUUCUCUUUACUAUCACAAAGAAAAAAAAAAGAGAGAGAGGCCCCUACUCUCUGAAUACAAUAUUCUUUGCAUAACUUGGCAGUAUGAAAUGUCAUGAAACAGUGUAACUCACUCACAGUAAAUCAGCAGCAUAGGAUAAUACAAACCUAUCUAAUAAAUCUAAUGAUUUUCACACUCUUUUAACUCAGAAGUAUGAUGUGGCCUACAGCAGUAUCAUGAUUCACUCAUUUUGAUUAUAGGUAUAAUGUAAUAUAUAACAGCAUAAUAAUCUCACAACUGCUUCAAGCACAUUUGCCUUUCUUAACACACGCGAGAGAAAGGCAACUGUUGAGAAAAUGCUCUUUUGGGUGAGACAGUCCCAGAGGCCUUGCAUGCAAGCUACUAACACACAUACAUGCAAUGAAGAACAGCUUACACUACAGCACACACUAUACAUGCGCCUAUAUCUCUCAUUAGUGUUAAAACAGGGAAAACUUAAUAGUUUUGUUAUCAAAUGCUGAAGUUUAUCCACUACUAACAAAUAAACUCUCUGGGUUGCAGGACAACAACUUCAAAAAGAACGAGACUGGUAUGACCAACCAGUGAUGAAACAACAAAUUUAGUGGUUAAGAGUCAAAUUGUGAGAUGUUUUCUGCUGAUUGAAUCAUACAAGUGAUUACUGAAGGAAGGAAAAUUCCUUUUUUGUGCUUUUAAACGUGAUCUUACGAAUUUUAAUAUCUACCUGUGUUGUCCUGUCAACUUGGUGGGUUAUGAGUUAAUUAUAUUGUGAGGAAAAACAAAAAAAGGGGGAGAGAAGGCUGACACAGGGCCUGGCCCGGUGUUUCUCCCCUCCCCUUCGUCUGUUUUUGUUUUGUUUUUGUUUUUUCUCUUUAUGUUUAAUUACAGGCUGCUUUGCCGGUCCUGAAAGCCGAAGCUGACCUGGACUCCUGCUCUCCCCUCUACCAUCUUUGACGUGACCCUGACCAAAUGCUGCAGCAGCUAGACCCAUAACAACAACCUGAAAAUGUCAACAGUGCUGCAGGAAAAGGAUCUCAUGCAGCAGAGACGGAGAGCACUAAACUCAAGGCCCAUUUCACUACACGGGGGAAAAUUCCCAGACAGCUUCAGCUGACAGAGCUGUGACGAGACGCCCAUUAAGCCCGAAUGAAAAGUAAGGCCGAGCAAAAGAAUGCUGACCUUGAUAACCCUGCAUUAACACUGUACAGGACAGUGACGGACCAACACGGAUGAUCGGGCAGCAGAAGAAAGGGCGUGCCAGAGACAGGAGGAGCAACUGAGGUCAAAAGGCACCUCAGAAUGGACAAAACACAGAAGAAGAUGCAGGUUUCACCUGCGGUGAGCAUGGACACUGGAGAAAGGACUGCCCCAAUUGGGGCCAGGACCAGGACAGACUGAACUAUGAGCAGCAGCAGCAAUGGUCGCAACCGGACUGAAAAGGAGGAGGGCAGGACCCCAGGGCACGCUUCAGGCCGUGGUUUACCCAAAACACCAGAACAGGAAAGUGAUAAACACGCCAACAUACACUAACAUACACAUCUACACACACUGACUCAGAAUGAAGAGAAACACACACCUGAACAGACGUGCACUUGUUGAUUGAGUGAGAAAUGACACACACACACAUCAGACAAUGUACACUCAUCAAACAUGACUGAUGCCCUGAACGCCUUGAGACAGAUCAAGCAGGCCCAAAAUCAGGACUAUGUAAGUAAUACAAGUGACUGCUAAAAAGACUACUACUGCCUUCUCACUGUGCAAUACUUUUUGUUAAAAACCAACGGUGCACUAGACUUCAAUACUUGAAAUACUUGAAAUACUUGCAAUUCCUUUGUAUUCUUAUUCUUAUUUAUUCCAUUUAUCCCUUUUUGUAUUUUCACUUUUAUUUUGUGUUUUUGUAACAUGUAUCCUGCCAUGUCUAAAACUCAUGAUUAACCGUAUAAUUGUUUCCACUGUUGCUGCAUACAUAGCCGUGACAAAUGAUGAUGAUGAUGACCCCGACCUGUUGGAACAUGAAGACUUUGUGUGAUUAAUGAUGGUGUGAUAGGAACUGUACAACAAGAUGUUACAUACUGAUAUCUCACUUGAAAGUUAUACUGACAACAGGAGGGAAUGUCAAUGGAAAAUUGUACUUAGCAGUAUAAGCUUUUAAUGAUAUAAGUUUGCAUAUGAUAGAAUACUGUAUGUUGACCUUUUGAUGACUUAGACUGUUGUCCACUACACGACUGUUUUAUAAAUUCUUUCUCACAGCGAUAAUAGCUGAACAAGCAGGAAGAGGAGAGCUGGACACUUUUAUCUGCGCUCUCUAACAAGAAGAGGGGCCGCGUCUUUCUGAAUCUCACAACACACACACAUACACCUGAACCACUCUUAUCUUCACUCCCUACGCACUAACAUUCCUCUGCCUAUGAAUAGACGUAUUCACUGUUGUAUUGCUUUGUAUAUAAAUAAAGACCAGAGCGGUAACAGGGCGCUGAUCACAGGGCCCCCACUCUGGUGUGAGCGUUCUGUGACCGCCCUUGUAUACAAG
ensembl:lncRNA